rnacentral:lncRNA from 1 species
UAUAGGAUUUGAAAACAUGAGAAAGUGAAAUGAUCUGUAUUUAUUACCUUGGUGUGUAAUUUCAGAAGAGGAACUGGAGUCUGUUUCUGCAGACCGUUUCCUAUCCAGCACUGAUUCCUCAGGGCCAACCACAUCCGACAGUGGCCGUUAUUCACCCAAUGAGACGUUUUUAUCUGAUUCUCCGGACAGAUCCUGCAGUGAGUGGUCAGAGCUGAAUGAGGAUAAUCCUGUGUAUGAAGGUGGGCUUUAUAAAUCCGCCUCCUCGCUGUCGGUGUGCAGCGUGGCCAGUACCUUCCUGCCCAGUCUACCUCCAGACUCCUGCAGCACCACCUCCAAAACACGCAUAGGUGUGGCUCGUGGUGAUCCAGGUAUGAUGCUCCCCUCCGGCGUGCUGGCUGUGGUGUAUCUGCUGGUGGCUGCACUACUGGGAACCUGCCUGGCCAUGGUGGGAUUAUAUGGGAGCAGAUUCUCUAAUUCUGUGGUGCUGAUGUGGCUCAUCUCAGCUCUGUCUGCCUUCCUCACAUCCACUCUGCUGAUAGAGCCUCUCAAGGUGAGCUGGUAACAACUUAACCCAUAAGGAACGCUUAACCCAUGAGGAACGCUUAACCCAUGAGGAA